rnacentral:rRNA from 1 species
UAGUGGCGGAAGGGUUAGUAAUACAUGAGUAACCUACCUCUAACCUGGGGAUAACGGUUGGAAACGGCCGCUAAUACCGAAUGAGGAGACGAGGGGAAUGCUCAUGGCUUCAAAGUAGGGGAUCUUGUCGGGACCUUGCGGUUGUAGAGGGGCUUAUGGGAUAUCAGCUUGUUGGUGUGGUAAAGGCGCACCAAGGCUAAGACGUCUAGGCGGACUGAGAGGUUGGUCGCCAACACUGGGACUGAGACACUGCCCAGACUCCUACGGGAGGCUGCAGUCGAGAAUCAUUCGCAAUGGACGAAAGUCUGACGAUGCGACGCCGUGUGAACGAAGAAGGCCUUCGGGUUGUAAAGUUCUUUCGCCUGGGAACAAGAGAAGGUAGCAAAUAACUGCCUAAUUUGAGGGUACCAGGUAAAGAAGCACCGGCUAACUCCGUGCCAGCAGCUGCGGUAAUACGGAGGGUGCAAGCAUUAAUCGGAUUGAUUGGGCGUAAAGAGCGCGUAGGCGGAUCAGCAAGUCAGAUGUGAAAUUCCGGAACUCAAUUCCGGAGCUGCAUUUGAAACUACUAAUCUUGAGGGUAGACGGAGAAAACGGAAUUCCACGUGUAGCGGUGAAAUGCGUAGAUAUGUGGAAGAACACCGGUGGCGAAGGCGGUUUUCUAGUUUAUUCCUGACGCUGAGGCGCGAGAGCAAGGGGAGCGAACAGGAUUAGAUACCCUGGUAGUCCUGGCCGUAAACGAUGUAUACUUGAUGUAGUUGGACUCAACCCCGACUGUGUCGUAGCUAACGCGAUAAGUAUACCGCCUGAGGAGUACGCUCGCAAGGGUGAAACUCAAAAGAAUUGACGGGGACCCGCACAAGCAGUGGAGCAUGUGGUUUAAUUCGAUGCAACGCGAAGAACCUUACCCAGACUUGACAUGUAGUGGACCGCUCUAGAGAUAGAGUUUCUCGUAAGGGCCUUUAUACAGGUGCUGCAUGGCUGUCGUCAGCUCGUGCCGUGAGGUGUUGGGUUAAGUCCCGCAACGAGCGCAACCCUCGUCGUUAGUUACCAGCAUGUUAUGAUGGGGACUCUAACGAGACUGCCUAGGUUAACUAGGAGGAAGGUGAGGAUGACGUCAAGUCCGCAUGGCCUUUAUGUCUGGGGCUACACACGUGCUACAAUGGUCGGUACAGAAGGUAGCGAAGCCGAGAGGUGGAGCAAAUCCCCAAAACCGAUCUCAGUUCGGAUAGAAGUCUGCAACUCGACUUCUUGAAGUUGGAAUUGCUAGUAAUGACGUGUCAGCAAUAACGUCGUGAAUACGUUCCCGGGCCUUGUACACACCGCCCGUCACAUCACGG